AUUGAACGCUGGCGGCAGGCUUAACACAUGCAAGUCGAGCGGGGGAAGGUAGCUUGCUACCGGACCUAGCGGCGGACGGGUGAGUAAUGCUUAGGAAUCUGCCUAUUAGUGGGGGACAACAUCUCGAAAGGGAUGCUAAUACCGCAUACGUCCUACGGGAGAAAGCAGGGGAUCUUCGGACCUUGCGCUAAUAGAUGAGCCUAAGUCAGAUUAGCUAGUUGGUGGGGUAAAGGCCUACCAAGGCGACGAUCUGUAGCGGGUCUGAGAGGAUGAUCCGCCACACUGGGACUGAGACACGGCCCAGACUCCGACGGGAGGCAGCAGUGGGGAAUAUUGGACAAUGGGGGGAACCCUGAUCCAGCCAUGCCGCGUGUGUGAAGAAGGCCUUAUGGUUGUAAAGCACUUUAAGCGAGGAGGAAGCUACUUUAGUUAAUACCUAGAGAUAGUGGACGUUACUCGCAGAGUAAGCACCGGCUAACUCUGUGCCAGCCGCCGCCGUAA
rnacentral:rRNA from 1 species